GCUUUCUAACCCAAGAGCUCUUAUCAAUAUUUGAUGUUACUUUCAUUUGGCCUGUGUCUUUUUAAAUGCACCUUGAAAUCUUAUAUAAUGUGAAUCCAGUCAAUGCAGAUGUAACUGGGACGGUGACAGCAGAAGCUCCUGUGUCAGGGACAAUGAGGCUGAAAAGAGAGAGCCCAGGGCUCUUGGGAGGAUCAUCCCCCUGCCACGGAGGUUCCAGGAAGGUGCCCCCACCCAUGGCAGCAGUGACUUUGUGUGUGCCCAUGGAGCUGCUGACUCGAGCUCAAGGCAAAACCUUCUCCCUCGACCUCAAAACUGGAGCAAUUUGAAGAAAGUUUAACAGGCAGAGUUCAGGCCCUGGAGCUCAACAAGAAGCAGG
rnacentral:lncRNA from 12 species